UGCUUGCUUCGGAGCUCUGCCUUUCCAGCCCGGCUCGGCUGCGCUUUGUCCGGCGAUGGUGAGCGAGACGAGGGCCUGGCCCGGCCCGGCCCGGCCGCUCCUGCUAGAGGUGGGGCGCGCCCAGUUCCCGGCGCCGCGGCGGCCGCUUUGCAACUCGCAACCUGGCUAAUUUCCUGCGUCCUCUGGCACCAGGAAGGAGGUCGAUUCGUCUCUCCCGGCUGCUCAAGCGACAGCUGUCAGAGGGGCAGGAGCUUCUGGGAGCCGCCAUCUGAAGGCUACGUGUGCCGCCUGGUCAUUCAAAUUGUCAAUUUUAGGUCCAGAAGUGUCCAAACCACAAGUUCUCAAAACUCUGAAAAAUGGCUCCCUUCAAGUUAAGCAAUUCUGAAAGGCAUUCUCUGGGAAAAGUCUGUGGAGAAUCGAGGGAUCUUCUUGCAAAUAAUGUGGUCUCGGGCAAAGACGCAGCAUCUUGGCUGUCUGCUCAAAAAAUGCCUAGACUCUCUCGGUGGAAA